rnacentral:rRNA from 1 species
UACGUAGGCAGCGAGCGUUGUUCGGAGUUACUGGGCGUAAAGAGUGCGUAGGCGGUUUUCUAAGUUUGGUGUGAAAUCUCCCGGCUUAACUGGGAGGGUGCGCCGAAGACUGGAAGGCUUGAGUAUGGGAGAGGUAAGCGGAAUUCCUGGUGUAGCGGUGAAAUGCGUAGAUAUCAGGAGGAACACCUGCGGGGUAGACGGCUUACUGGACCAUAACUGACGCUGAGGCACGAAAGCGUGGGUAGCAAACAGG